rnacentral:rRNA from 1 species
GGACCCGCACAAGCAGUGGAGUAUGUGGUUUAAUUCGACGCAACGCGAAGAACCUUACCAAGGCUUGACAUAGUACUGAAUAUGGUGGAAACAUCAUAGUCCUUCGGGACAGUAUUACAGGUGGUGCAUGGUUGUCGUCAGCUCGUGUCGUGAGAUGUUGGGUUAAGUCCCGCAACGAGCGCAACCCUUGUCGUUAGUUGCCAUCAGGUAAAGCUGGGCACUCUAAUGAGACUACCGGUGAUAAAUCGGAGGAAGGUGGGGACGACGUCAAAUCAUCAUGCCCCUUAUGUCUUGGGCUACACACGUACUACAAUGGCUAUUACAACAGGCAGCUAAGGAGUAAUCUGGAGCAAAUCCCAAAAGAUAGUCCCAGUUCGGAUUGUGGGCUGCAACUCGCCCACAUGAAGUCGGAAUUGCUAGUAAUUGCAGGUCAGCAUACUGCAGUGAAUACGUUCCCGGGUCUU